UCAGGGGAGGGGGGGUCCCUCAGCCUGGAUUGUGAGAGGGUGCAGGCCAGGCCAAGGGACCCCACUGGUGCAUG
rnacentral:pre_miRNA from 1 species